rnacentral:misc_RNA from 1 species
UUGAAUUUAUUUAUUUAUUGGUGUAAUGGAUUGUGAUUGAAAUUUGAAUUUAAAAGUUCACAUGAAAAUGAUUUCAAUAUCACAUGAGAUUAAAGUUGUAUUUAUUAAAAUAAAAUAACCAAUACAUCGAACGACGUAUUGGAAAUUGUGGACCAGCAAGCUGUGUGAAGAUCUGGGCAAGAGUGGAUCCGACGCAGCACCGACGAUAUUACUGUGUUUUGUUAUCCAAUUAUUCUCCCAAAUGAAUUAUUUAGUAUCGUAAUUUGGAUUAAAUAGAUGUUUAUUUAAUAAGCGGCGUGGCUAACAUGAUUAUAUAUUUGAUUGACUGAGGAAAAAUGGAAGGGAAGAAGGAAAAGGAAAAACGAUGAGAGAGAAAGAAGAAACAGAAAAGUCCCCAUGUGUGGGGUUGAUGAAAAGG